AGCAUAAGGCCCAAGGACAGGAAUGACAACAACGACAAAAUGAAUAUCUGGCUCUGCCGCGUGAUUCAGUGGCAUUGUUAACCGAGAGAAUUACAAUGGAAAAAGCAAUGGGAUCACGUGACCGUAUCAAUAACUCCAACGCGAGCUUCUCUCACUCUUCAACAGAUCAUCCCGAAAUCAGGAUAUCAUCGUAUCAAUCAACAGAUUCCUCAAGCAUCAGAAGAUAAGCAUCUGCUAAGGAGUCUGGUUAUGUAAUCUACAUAUGGGCGGACUUCCCCCAGGCGUUAAAUCCGCUGGUCGCCCUCCCCCUCGCACUUCAACCAGACUCCAGAAGAAGGGAAAAAGAAUCGUGGACGUGUCAGGAUGUCAGCAACCAAAGAAUACUGAAUCGGGAGACACCUUCUGCUCCAGCCCACGUCCUCCUCCUGCCCUCCCCCCCCACUCCCUCUCCGCCCCCUAUACAUUUGCCUUUCCCCCUCCUCCCUCCUUGCCCAAUGUACCCCUGUUAACCCUCCCUGACCCGGGUAUGUCCCCCUACCCACGUCUCUAUCCUCACCCCCCACCGCAUCCCUCUCCCUAUCCCCCUAAUCCCCCUACCCUCCCUUUAUACCCAAUACCCCCCUACCCUUACCCUUACCCUUACCCAACCCUCCCCCAAUAACCUCCCUUACCUAUGCCUCCCCCCCCACCCUCCCCAAUCACAUAGGAGCGAAAGAUGUCUCCGGUGAAGAACUUAAUCAAAUCUGGAGUGUUUUCCCAGUUCCUAAUCAGAGACGAAGGUUCGGAGAGCAAGAACCCUAAUGUCAUUUCCAGGCGGCCGACAAGACAAAGCAAAGGGGAAAAUGCGACCGACAAACAUGUUUUCGAAACUUCUUGGCUUUUCUCCUUUUUCAUUAUCCUCCCUCACCCCCUGAAGUCUUAAUGCUGAGAGUGGGAAGGUAUGAACCGACCUCCAUACCUGGCCGAGGCACAUGGCGUAAAACUGUCUUGACUCGAUGUUCAUGCUUGACAUCUUGAGAAUGUAAGGAAAACAGUCUAUA
rnacentral:lncRNA from 1 species